CAGUAGCCGCGGUAAUACGUAGGGCGCAAGCGUUGUCCGGAAUUAUUGGGCGUAAAGAGCUCGUAGGCGGUCUGUCGCGUCUGGUGUGAAAUCCCGAGGCUCAACCUCGGGCUUGCAUCGGGUACGGGCAGACUAGAGUGCGGUAGGGGAGACUGGAAUUCCUGGUGUAGCGGUGGAAUGCGCAGAUAUCAGGAGGAACACCGAUGGCGAAGGCAGGUCUCUGGGCCGCAACUGACGCUGAGGAGCGAAAGCAUGGGGAGCGAACAGGAUUAGAUACCCGAGUAGUCCCUGUCUCUUAUAA
rnacentral:rRNA from 1 species